rnacentral:tRNA from 1 species
UUUUAAUAUGGCAGAUUAGGGCUAUAGAUCUAAAAUCUAUCUAUAAAGUUUCCUUUUAUUAAAA